rnacentral:lncRNA from 1 species
ACUCAACUGAAAGACAGAAAGAAAUGUGACUUGGCGAAAACAAAAGAAAGAGCUUCUAGGAUCUGAUGACUCAAAGCAAUACUCUAAGGUGAGCAUCUCAUCAUCCAGCAUUGGGACUGACUGGCUUCGAGACAUACUGGACAUACCAUGCUCUGGUCCCAGCAUCUUAUCCGGUCGUUCGUGGCUUCCUAAGUGAUCACUCCCAGAAGCAUAGUUUUCUAAUGGUAUGUUAUACACCUUAUAUGUACCAAUGUCAAUCUCAUCGAUACUCUGUGACUUUUUGAAUUUAUUAGACUUGAUAUCUUUCAUUAGGGGGGAAAGCCUCUCUGUGCUUUUGCUAAUUGAAAUAACACCUUUAGAAGAUUCCGGGCGGCAGUGGAUUUGAGAAAAGACAUUACUAAGACUCCUGUUGGGAUUGGAAUCAUGAUACUCCCAUGGUACGCCUGGAGAAAAAGGACUAGGUAUUUCAGUAGAUUCCUUUAUAUGUUCUUUCCUUUCAGGCAAUGGGCUGGUAGUGGGGGUUGUCUCUAAUUUGGAAGGAAAAGCGGUCCUGUCUUCAAACGGACUAGGGGUUCUGGUCCAAUUCUGCCAAGGAUUGGAAGGAGGCACUUCUGUUUCUGGUGUGUGUCUGUGUGUAGACUGCUCGAGUUCCAGGGGAACACCAACAAUCCUGUCUUGCCUGAUCAAAGGCCUGCGUCCAUGCGAAGAUGUGCUUCUAGAUUUCGAACUUAAGAGAGGAUUACUGUUGGCAUUCUCGGCUGUGGUUUCCUCAGCAACAAACCCUGUGUUGUCAUAAUGCGAGCCAUCAGUCCAGUUGUCAGUGAAAGUAUCACUCAUGGGCAGCCGGUCAGGACGCUGUGGUAUAUUGCCUGGGGGAACAGCCUCCCGCUGGCUGAGUAAUGGCUUUGAAUCAAGAGGCUGUGGGAAAGAUGGUGCAAUCCUGUGAACACAAUGGGAAGAAGAAA